rnacentral:sRNA from 1 species
AUCUGUGUAAGAUUUCAUUCGAGCACU